UGACAAAGAUCGGCGUAAAAUGUGGUUAUUACAGUAUUGCACUAAAGUUAAACACCUUCAAAGUUGUUAUAUGCUAUCGAAGGCAGGAGAAUCCCCCACGAAAGUGACUUUAUACACUAUGAACCACGAAAGCUAGGAA
rnacentral:rRNA from 1 species